ACUUCUUUUUGGUUGUUUGUGUUUCCGAUAGGGUAGAAGUAUGAUGUAUUGCGGAACGAUUUUCGGUCAUCCCUUGUCAAAUUUGGUUUGGAGACAAACCGGUUUCGGCGUUGUGCCAUCUUCAGUGUCAUUUUUCG